rnacentral:tRNA from 1 species
UAUAUUUUGUUGUAUGAUGCAUUUAAGUUUUUGAUACUUGAGGUAACAGUUUGAUUCUGUUUAAUAUAA